UACAGAGGUCUCAAGCGUUGUUCGGAUUCAUUGGGCGUAAAGGGUGCGUAGGUGGCGCCGUAAGUCAGGUGUGAAAUUUCGGAGCUUAACUCCGAAACUGCAUUUGAUACUGCGGUGCUUGAGGACUGGAGAGGAGACUUGGAAUUUACGGUGUAGCAGUGAAAUGCGUAGAGAUCGUGAAGGAAGACCAGUGGCGAAGGCGGGUCUCUGGACAGUUCC
rnacentral:rRNA from 1 species